AGUGGACGCUGGCGGUAGGCCUAACACAUGCAAGUCGAACGGCAGCACAGUAAGAGCUUGCUCUUACGGGUGGCGAGUGGCGGACGGGUGAGGAAUACAUCGGAAUCUACUUUUUCGUGGGGGAUAACGUAGGGAAACUUACGCUAAUACCGCAUACGACCUACGGGUGAAAGCAGGGGAUCUUCGGACCUUGCGCGAUUGAAUGAGCCGAUGUCGGAUUAGCUAGUUGGCGGGGUAAAGGCCCACCAAGGCGACGAUCCGUAGCUGGUCUGAGAGGAUGAUCAGCCACACUGGAACUGAGACACGGUCCAGACUCCUACGGGAGGCAGCAGUGGGGAAUAUUGGACAAUUGGCGCAAGCCUGAUCCAGCCAUACCGCGUGGGUGAAGAAGGCCUUCGGGUUGUAAAGCCCUUUUGUUGGGAAAGAAAAGCAGCAGGUUAAUACCCCGCUGUUCUGACGGUACCCAAAGAAUAAGCACCGGCUAACUUCGUG
rnacentral:rRNA from 1 species